rnacentral:rRNA from 1 species
UACGUAGGUGGCAAGCGUUAUCCGGAAUCAUUGGGCGUAAAGAGCGCGUAGGUGGCUUGUCAGGUCCGAUGUGAAAACCUGGGGCUCAACUCCAGGCCUGCAUCGGAAACCGGCUUGCUAGAGUCUGGGAGAGGAGAGCGGAAUUCCUGGUGUAGCGGUGAAAUGCGUAGAUAUCAGGAGGAACACCGGUAGCGAAGGCGGCUCUCUGGAACAGUACUGACGCUGAGGCGCGAAAGCUAGGGGAGCGAACAGGAUUAGA